rnacentral:pre_miRNA from 1 species
AGUGGAAUUUCUGGGUCAUAUGGUAGGUUUAACUUUUUCAGAAACUGCCAAAUUGUUUUCCAAAGUGGUUUUACUAUUUUACAUUCCUACUAGUAAU